UGGUGUAAACUCAGGCCAGAGAAAAGAGAAACAGAGAAAAAGGUAAUGUGGUGUAAACUCAGGCCAGAGAAAAGAGAAGCAGAGAAAAAGGUAACGUGGUGUAAACUCAGGCCAGAGAAAAGAGAAGCAGAGAAAAAGGUAACGUGGUGUAAACUCAGGCCAGAGAAAAGAGAAACAGAGAAAAAGGUAACGUGGUGUAAACUCAGGCCAGAGAAAAGAGAAACAGAGAAAAAGGUAAUGUGGUGUAAACUCAGGCCAGAGAAAAGAGAAGCAGAGAAAAAGGUAACAUGGUGUAAACUCAGGCCAGAGAAAAGAGAAGCAGAGAAAAAGGUAACGUGGUGUAAACUCAGGCCAGAGAAAAGAGAAGCAGAGAAAAAGGUAACGUGGUGUAAACUCAGGCAAGAGAAAAGAGAAGCAGAGAAAAAGGUAACGUGGUGUAAACUCAGGCCAGAGAAAAGAGAAGCAGAGAAAAAGGUAACGUGGUGUAAACUCAGGCCAGAGAAAAGAGAAGCAGAGAAAAAGGUAACGUGGUGUAAACUCAGGCCAGAGAAAAGAGAAGCAUAGAAAAAGGUAAUGUGGUGUAAACUCAGGCCAGAGAAAAGAGAAGCAGAGAAAAAGGUAACGUGGUGUAAACUCAGGCCAGAGAAAAGAGAAGCAGAGAAAAAGGUAACGUGGUGUAAACUCAGGCCAGAGAAAAGAGAAGCAGAGAAAAAGGUAACGUGGUGUAAACUCAGGCCAGAGAAAAGAGAAGCAGAGAAAAAGGUAACGUGGUGUAAACUCAGGCCAGAGAAAAGAGAAGCAGAGAAAAAGGUAACGUGGUGUAAACUCAGGCCAGAGAAAAGAGAAGCAGAGAAA